rnacentral:rRNA from 1 species
UACAGAGGGUGCAAGCGUUAAUCGGAGUUACUGGGCGUAAAGGGUGCGUAGGUGGUUAUUUAAGUUGGCUGUGAAAUCCCCGGGCUUAACCUGGGAACUGCAACCAAAACUGGGAAACUGGAGUACUGUAGAGGGUAGUGGAAUUUCCGGUGUAGCGGUGAAAUGCGUAGAGAUCGGAAGGAACACCCGUGGCGAAAGCGCGUCCCUGGACCCCACCUGACGCUGAGACGCGAAAGCCAGGGGAGCGAACGGG